UUAACUUCGAUAGAGAUCCAAUUGGGUCUCGUUAAGGUUAUUUGAUUUUUGGAAGCGGAUGAGGUCGUGGGCUUGCUCGCGCCUCAUCACGGGUCGGCCCAGCGUUGCACUGCUGCAGGGAUCGGCCCACUCCCC
rnacentral:snRNA from 1 species